CAGGCUGUAGUGUAACGGUAACACGCACCGUUCGGGUCGGUGAGAUUCCGGGUUCAAAUCCCGGCAGCCUGACAA
rnacentral:tRNA from 6 species